GUACCAACCUGCCCCAUGCUCCAGAAUAGCUCUUGGAAACGGGUGGUAAUGCUGGAUGCUCCAACUUGACGCAUGUCUUGUUGGGAAAGUGUUUAGUGGCAUGGGAUGGGGUCGCGUCCUAUCAGCUUGUAGGCGGGGUAAUGGCCCACCUAGGCUUCGACGGGUAGCCGGCCUGAGAGGGCGGACGGCCACAUUGGGACUGAGAUACGGCCCAGACUCCUACGGGAGGCAGCAGGGU
rnacentral:rRNA from 1 species